UACUGUACAACUAUACAGAUUGAUCAUUCUCUCUCUCUCUCUCUCUCAUCAAAAUUCAUACACAUUUCUCUGUAUUUAGCUAUGCAUUCCCCUUCCUCUCUCGCAAUUCGAUUUGAUCGCCUUUUCUGAUUGAAGAAGUGACUCUGAAUCAGUGACACUGUACGCUCUUUACCACCCAUCGAUUGUCGCUAUUUUCUUCCGGCGGUGAGAUGGCGCGGAUGCUACUCAGCUCUGCGGCGAUCGACGCCGGAGGAGUCGGAGAACUGUCCGCCUCCUGGUGGAACCACAUCAACGCCUCCGUACAAUGGCAAGACGGAAUAUUCUUCACGCUUUGCGCUGUUUAUGCCCUCCUUUCGUCCGUCGCCCUUAUUCAAUUGAUAAGAAUCGAAUUAAGGGUGCCUGAAUAUGGAUGGACUACUCAAAAGGUUUUCCACUUGAUGAAUUUUGUUGUAAAUGGAGUGCGUGCUGUUGUGUUUGGAUUUCAUAAGCAAGUAUUUUUUCUGAAUCCCAAGGCCCUAACUUUGCUACUCCUAGAUCUUCCUGACCUGCUGUUCUUUUCUACAUAUACACUUCUUGUCCUUUUCUGGGCCGAAAUAUAUCAUCAGGCUAGAAGCAUGCCAACAGAGAAAUUGAGAAUCUUCUACAUUUCUAUCAAUGGUGCAAUCUACAUAAUACAGUUCGGUAUCUGGCUGUACCUUGGAUUAGAUGAGAACGUCAUUGUACAAUUCAUCGGAAAGAUAUUUAUAGCAGUGGUAUCAGUCAUAGCUGCUUUGGGCUUUGUAAUAUAUGGAGGAAGGCUAUUUUUCAUGCUUAGACGCUUCCCCAUUGAAUCCAAAGGGAGGAGAAAGAAACUUCAUGAGGUUGGAUCUGUGACAGCUAUAUGCUUCACUUGUUUUCUUAUAAGGUGCUUCGUGGUAUUGCUGUCGGCUUUCGAUUCAGAUGCAUCACUGGAUGUUAUGUACCAUCCAGUUCUGAAUCUGAUCUAUUACAUGCUCGUCGAGAUCCUUCCUUCAGCUCUUGUCUUGUUCAUUUUGCGCAAGCUACCGCCUAAAAGAAUAUCUGCUCAGUACCAUGCCAUCCACUGAAGGCCCGAGUCACACUCACAAUAUUCAUGUCGUUGAUGGUGACAUCUGACUGAAUCUGGUGCUACUGAAGAUGAAGAUGAACGCCUUGACGUGAAAAAGAUGAAUUUUCAGAUCACUCCUCUCUCUCACAAUUAGAGUCCGGAAUUUCGUCCAUACAAGAACCCUGGUUCUUAGGUCUCCCGGUCGGGUUUAACAGAAUGGUUAGAGAGGAAUGGAAGAAAUUGGGCAGCAUCUUCGUCACAAGGAAGUUGAUGGACUUCACCAACUUAUAAGGAGAUGGCAUAAUCUGAUCUUUUGAAAUAUGGAUUCGGGCAGCAAGAAGCUUGAAGAAGAUCAACUUCGAACUCAAAAUAAAAUUUGCUGGUGUGGAGAGGAGAUGGAACCAACUAAAACUUGUUGGAAUCGAACAUGCAUUUGAGUAUGCACUGAUUCACAAAUAUGAGCUUGUGGUGGCUCAGAAGAAUAUACAUUGAAGUAUGGCAUAGGGAGCUUGAUAUUUGUCACAUGAUGCACCCGACCAGAUCUUUCCGUGUCUUGAGUGCAAGUUGAUUCAAGUUUCCAAGCAAUCCAAGCAAAGAUAAUUGAAAAGUUCUACAUUAAGUUUUGAGAUACUUGAACCUUGAUAUGUAAUCCUCAAGUACUUGAAGGUUACUGUGACACGAAUUAGAUCUCUGAUUUGAGAAAUUUAUUUUUGCCAAGUAUAAUACAUUGCCGGGAUGAUAAUAUUUCGUGAAAGUCAAUGAGACAGACGUGUAUAACC